rnacentral:rRNA from 1 species
CACGUAGGGCGCAAGCGUUGUCCGGAAUUAUUGGGCGUAAAGAGCUCGUAGGCGGUCUGUUGCGUCCGCUGUGAAAACCCGGGGCUUAACCCUGGGCUGGCAGUGGAUACGGACAGACUAGAGGUAGGUAGGGGAGAAUGGAAUUCCCGGUGUAGCGGUGAAAUGCGCAGAUAUCAGGAAGAACACCCGUGGCGAAGGCGGCUCUCUGGGACGGUACUGACGCUGAGACGCGAAAGCGUGGGGAGCGAACAGG